rnacentral:rRNA from 1 species
UAAAUUGAGAGUUUGAUCCUGGCUCAGGACGAACGCUGGCGGCGUGCCUAACACAUGCAAGUCGAGCGGGGGACUUCGGUCCCCAGCGGCGGACGGGUGAGUAACACGUGGGUAACCUGCCUCAUAGAGGGGGAUAGCCUCCCGAAAGGGAGAUUAAUACCGCAUAACACUGCGAUUUCACAUGAUAUUGCAGUUAAAGGAGUAAUCCGCUAUGAGAUGGGC